rnacentral:lncRNA from 1 species
GAGAUGUGCGAGUAAGAUGGGCUGUCUUAAAAUCCUGCAUAAGGAUGCAAGCAACAGAGACAACAGAUUUUAUAAGGCCACACCCGGCAAGAGCUGCAACGACACCGUUCUCUUUCCCAGACAGUGCAGCUAGUACAAAGAGAGCAACUUUGCCAUAAUUAUAAGCCAUGUUCAUGUCGGUAAGACCAGCUCCAUAAGCAUUGCAAAAUGCCAGAGAUGGAGCAAGAAUGUAAGAAACUACAACAUAGUACCAUUUAAGCUGAGGGAAUAUCAUUGGGACAGCGAUUGUGGAUAUAAUGGAGAAGAAGACAUAUCCGACGACUCCUAUCCACAUGGGUAUCUUCUCUCUGAUGAAGAGUUCAUUUUGUUUUAGAUCAAGUG